rnacentral:rRNA from 1 species
UACGGAGGGAGCUAGCGUUGUUCGGAAUUACUGGGCGUAAAGCGCACGUAGGCGGCUUUGUAAGUUAGAGGUGAAAGCCCGGGGCUCAACUCCGGAAUUGCCUUUAAAACUGCAUCGCUAGAAUUGUGGAGAGGUAAGUGGAAUUCCGAGUGUAGAGGUGAAAUUCGUAGAUAUUCGGAAGAACACCAGUGGCGAAGGCGACUUACUGGACACAUAUUGACGCUGAGGUGCGAAAGCGUGGGGAGCAAACAGG